GCAGUCGAACGGCAGCACGGACUUCGGUCUGGUGGCGAGUGGCGAACGGGUGAGUAAUGUAUCGGAACGUGCCUAGUAGCGGGGGAUAACUACGCGAAAGCGUAGCUAAUACCGCAUACGCCCUACGGGGGAAAGCAGGGGAUCGCAAGACCUUGCACUAUUAGAGCGGCCGAUAUCGGAUUAGCUAGUUGGUGGGGUAACGGCUCACCAAGGCGACGAUCCGUAGCUGGUUUGAGAGGACGACCAGCCACACUGGGACUGAGACACGGCCCAGACUCCUACGGGAGGCAGCAGUGGGGAAUUUUGGACAAUGGGGGAAACCCUGAUCCAGCCAUCCCGCGUGUGCGAUGAAGGCCUUCGGGUUGUAAAGCACUUUUGGCAGGAAAGAAACGUCAUGGGCUAAUACCCCGUGAAACUGACGGUACCUGCAGAAUAAGCACCGGCUAACUACGUGCCAGCAGCC
rnacentral:rRNA from 1 species